rnacentral:rRNA from 1 species
CGUGAGGUGUUAGGUUAAGUCCUGCAACGAGCGCAACCCUUGUCUUUAGUUAUAUUCUAGAGAGACUGCCGGUGAUAAACCGGAGGAAGGUGAGGAUGACGUCAAAUCAGCAUGCCCCUUACAUCUUGGGCGACUCACGUGCUACAAUGGUCGGGACAAAGAGAUGCUACCCUGCGAAGGCAAGCUAACCUCAAAAACCCGAUCUCAGUUCGGAUUGCAGGCUGCAACUCGCCUGCAUGAAGUUGGAAUCGCUAGUAAUCGCAGGUCAGCCAUACUGCGGUGAAUACGUUCUCGGGUCUU